rnacentral:ncRNA from 1 species
GAUUGCGGUGUCCCGGAAGGGACUCAAAAGGGAAGCCGGUGAGAGGCCGGAACUGUGCCCGCAGCUGUGUUAUCCGCAACGGCUCCGAAGCAAGCCAUUGCCGUAAGGCGAGAAGGCCGGAGCCGGGAGAAGUCAGAAGACCUGCCGCAGUC